GCGGGCAGACAGCAGCACCGACACCAGCAGAACCCAGUGCGCAGCAGGAGGAGCCAGCGCAGCUGACUCGCACUUCUCAUCGGCCACUAGAGCUGCUGCCUAAGCUCCUACCUUCCUGGGAGAGGUCUUUUUGCCACCAGCUCGUCCCUUUUUUUUCCCAGACUACGCGAUCACCGGUGGUGGGCUGUCAGAGACUGGAAAAAGUGAUCUAUUUCAAGACAUUUGGGGAAGCUUAGACUGUGUGGUAGGCGGUGGGUCAGACCCUGCUGUGGCCUUAUUAUUUAAAUGUCUGACAACAUCAAAACUUGAGUGCACUGAUCUUUAGAACAGCACAGUGAUGUAGGAGGGCUCACCACUGCCUUGGAGAAAAGGAACUGAGGACUAAAGUAGCUCAAAUGACUUCUCAGCAGCCACACACUCAAUUUGUGGGCUUUUCCAUCUUCUGAUGACAAAAAGGACCAAGCUUCAAAUGCCAGUAUUCAGCGAUAAGAACUGAGUGUGGAUACCACACUUUGACUUCUGCAGUUUUUCUUCAGUAAAGUCAUUGGAUAAAUUUACCCUGAAUUUGCAUUCCUAAUGAUGAUGAGGUUUUUUUGUUGACUGCUCAUCCUUUUCUGAGAUACAAAUUUUGGGAGAGAAGAGACCUCUUCACCCACAUCACAGAAUGACUACACCAGGCUUCCUUUCUGUUUGUAUUUGUGGGUGAAAACUGUUUUACCUUCUGAGCUGUGUUUUGUUACCUUUCCUUUGCCGCAUGGGAAAUAGGGAGUAAGCAGAGAGAAGGUUGCAGCUGAUUGGUUCUGAUCCAAAGGAGAUCUCCUAUACUGACUGUAUUCAAGCAAGGCAAGUUGGUUCCUGCAGAUUUUCAGUCUCCUAGGAAUUGCUUAAUUAUCAUGAUAUCUGACACUAGACUUUCACAUCAAGUUUAGAUUUCCUUUCUCAGCGACCUUCAUAUCUUUCUUUGCAUAUAUUCAUUGGCUUUUAUGCUACUUUUUACCCCUCUGGCUUUGCAGUAGCCAUUUUCCUACUUUCCUCUCAGGCUAACUGCAUGCCAAAUCCCAUGUCGUUCACAGCAUACAGAAUAACUCUUUUAAAAAUGGGUCAGAAGGCUCUGAUGGCCUCUUCCUCCAGUUCAGUUCUUUCAUGCAUCAUACCAAAAAUCAGCAGAUAUCUAAUGCCUAGACACAACAGCAUUUAGAGGAAUAUCUAAUUCAUUAAUGUACGUUAAGAAAAGCAACAGAAAAAUGUUUUUUUCAUCAUUUACUUUUGUCUGUUAAGUUUUUGUUCUUGGUUGUUGCUGCAGAGUUGUCCUGUCCUGUCUGAAAUGGCAGAGCUGCCCAGAGCGCUUCCCUGUGUGCCCACCUCCAUGCUGACACUGCAGUGAGAGAUGUGGCAGCUCAUCUCUCCAGGAGAAUGUCUCUGACUCUUAGCACCUUGCAAUUUAAAACCAUUUUGGAAUUACCUUGCACUGAAAAGUGGAGCACCCUCCUUUCCCUUAUGAAUUUCUGUGUGAAAAUUGCCUUGCCAGACAGUACAUGUCUCAGAUGCUUCCUGCUCUUUAUGCUGGGUUGGUCCAACAAGGUCCAGCAAUGAGGAAUUGUGGAUGGAUGAACGAUUUCCUCUUCUGUUUAUGCUAUUUAUGUAAUAGAGUUUAGGUAAUAGGUUGUGCAGUGACAAGGUUUAUGAAAGAAAGGCAGGGAAAUGUGACAUUGCUGUGGCCCUGUAGUGUCGUUUGAGACCUGUAGGAUACUGCUCUAAUGCCAGUUGCUAUUACUGAUACCAGUUGCAAUUGAGGAUCUUCUGUAAGUUCUGUAUUCAUCUGCUAACCUUUGGCUGAUGUCUUUGAGACCUUAGGGCAUCCAUCUAAAAUGAAACUGAGCAGCUUUGUGUGGGCACCAAAUUAACCUUUGUUAUCUGAAGUGAGACCUUGUGUAUCUAGUGCAUAGGUGGUCACCUCUAUUUAGGUAUCUAUGGUCUGGACCUGAAUCCUGCCCCAUAUGUCUUGUAGCUAACCUACAUGCCAACUUAGUGACUGCUUUGAGGAGUUAUACUGCCUGAACCUGUGUCCCACAUCCAGAAGACUCAAAAUAAGACAGUGAAGCCAAGGGAGAGAAGCAGGAGCAAGAACAGUUGAGAGACUUUCCCCUUCCAGCUGGCUUCUCUCCAUGCUGCUGUGUGAAAGCUGAGUCCCAGGGCAAUGCAGGCCUACGUGGAGGUGGGCAGUGGUGUAAACAAGUGACAGUAAAUGUGUCUUGGAGCUACAAAACCCCUAAACCAUUGGAAAGUAUGGGAAUGGUUGUACCUUCCUCCAGUACAACUUUCUUUGCCUCUUGAUAGGACUUCAACAGGAUAUUUGGCUAAUUCUUCCCACUCUCCCCUGGGGCAAACAAAUGUGCCGUCGCAUCUGCUUAAAUAAACACACUUUCACUGAGACAACCAAAUAGUUAGAAAUUGAGAGCUUAUUUGGGUUACUUGGUUGAUUUUUUCUUCUUUAAUAGUGUAUAAUAGAAAUGCAAGCCCGUAAAGUAUAUUUAUUUGCCAAUUUGAACUGUACAACAUAGGUCUGCUAGUCCUACCAUGAGUUUCUUUAGGCUGGCAUUUUCAGGUGAUUGCCUGCUACCCACCCUGCUGCCACCAAACCACUGGCUGUAUUUCAGUAUUUAGUGUAUUCUUUUUAUAUAACACUGUAACUUAAUGACUGCAACACCAUGUUUUUUUUCCAUGGUGCUUAUAGGCUGCUGAAAACACAGAUUAUUCUUCAGCGUGAACUCUGAUCAUUCUUCUAGACAGUACAUUUUCAGAUGCCAUCUUUAAUUUGUGACAUUAAUACUGAACUUGAUCACUGUUCAGUGGUUUUACUGAAGUAUUUACAUAUAGAUUGGUGAAGUAUUUUUUCUAGAGUAUUGAAAGCUCUCCAGGCCAAAUUGGAAUCAUAAACUAAACCACAGUAUCUGUAUGACAUGAAUAUGAUUUUUGCUUAUGAAAUUGCCUUGGAGGUUUACUUUCAAAGCAAAUUGAGUGCAUUUCCUUGGCUUCAUACAUUUAGCUCUGAACUAUGUGGAGAAUGACUCGGCAAGUGAGUGUUUUGAAUGAGCAGUGGUGAGUGUAUUCUGAGAAUUGUUUUUUUCCACAUCAGCACCCUUUUAAGGAAGAUGAACAAUUUCAGUGAGUUUUACCAAAAAAUUACAUUUUAAAGUGAUGAACUAAUUAGUUAAGACCUACAUUACUUUAUUAUGGAUAAAAACCCCUUUCCCAGAGCGAUAGCUUAGUUACAUAAAGUACCCUUUCAUUUUAUAUUAAAAUAAAAAGAUAGACUUGUUAUACAAAACUUGAACCACUACUAUUAAUCAUCUGAUUUCAAGAUCACCUCUGGCUGUUAAAAAGAUUUAUAUUAAUCUGUACUUGAUAGAUUCAGAAGGAUUAAAGGAGUGAAGGAGAGCAAAUAAAAAGAGAACAUCUUCCUGUCUUCAUUGUUAGAUGACCUUGUGCCAUGGUACGCUUAAAUUGCUUACUUCCUAUAACUCUAUAAAGUUCUGUGUUUUCAUUUCUGGAUUAGAUU